rnacentral:SRP_RNA from 2 species
GCCAGGCAUGGUAGUAUACACCUGUAUUUCUAGCUACUUGAGAGGCUGAGGCAGAAGGAUCAUUUGGGCCCUGGAUUUCUGGGCUGUGGUGUGCUAUUCUGAUCUGGUGUCUUCACUAAACUCAGCAUCAAUAUGGUAACCUUCUGGGAGCAGGAGACCACCAGGUUUCCUAAGGAAGGGUGAACCAGCCAAGUUAAGAAACAGAGCAAGUCAAAACUCACAUGCUGAUCAGUAGCAGUAUCGCUCCAUGAAAAGGCACUGCACUUCCAGCCAGGGUAACAUAGCGAGACUCCACCUUAA